rnacentral:lncRNA from 1 species
GGCUGGUUGCCAGUUAUGUAACCUCCUCACUGUUAGAUGAAAUCUCAUUUCACUGUGCUGUGUGCAUUAGGUCUGGUUCACGUUGAGCUACCUGAGAGGAGCUGGGAACAUGCUGUUUCUCAUCAUUUUCACCCAGCAAGAGAACUGGAAAGAGAGAGCUACACCCAAACCAAUUAUGGUCAGGCCCUCUGGGCUGUUACAUAAUAUUUCAGGAGACAGUGGAGUGAAGCGGACCUCAGCAUCCCAGAGGUGUGCUGCCAAGGCCGUGUGCUCUCUGUGCUUGGAAGUCUUGGACGGAGUUUCGCUCUUGUUACCCAGACUGGAGUGCAAUGGCGCGAUCUCAGUUCACCACAACCUCCGCCUGCUGGGUUCAAGCAAUUCUCCCGCCUCAGCCUCCUGAGUAGCUGGGAUUACAGGCACGCGCUAGUGUGCCCAGCUAAUUUUAUGUAUUUUUAGUAGAGAUGGGGUUUCACCAUGUUGACCAGGAUGGUCUUGAUCUGUUGACCUCGUGAUGCACCCGCCUCGGCCUCCCAAAGUGCUGGGAUUAUAGGCGUCAGCCAUCGCGCCUGGCCCACUGUUCAUAUUCUUAUGCGUUUCCCCAUGUAACUAUAAUUUAGCCAGGGUCUUACUAAUAAAUACAUAUUUACUAUUAAACAAUUAUUUUUGAAUUGUUUGCUACUAAUAUCUAAAAGUAGAAUUACUUUUGUAUAUCAAUCAUGUGUCUUACAACCUUGCUAAGUUUGUUUAUAAAUUCUACUAGAUGUUUUAUAGUUUCCUAUAAAACUUUCUACAUAAACAAUCAUGUCUAUUUCAUUGCAGAUACUCCCUACCUCUGAAUUCAUGACGAGCAUUUUUCCUUUACAUCACUGAGUAUAGUUAUGCCGUGUAAAACUGUGUUAAAUUCCUUGUCUGGGAAACAUCUGGGUCAUCUCAGAGUCGGCAUCCUGUUGAUUAUCUUUUCCCUUGAGAAUGGCUCAUGUCUUCCUGAGUCGUCUUUGUUGAAUAAUUUUGGGUCAUAGCCCAGACACUGUGAAUAUUAUGUUGUAAAGACUCUGCAUUCUGUUAUAUUUCUCCAAGGAGUGUUGACAUUUUGUUUUAGCAGAUAAUUAACUUGAUUUAGAUUCAGAAUGCCAACUCUUGUGCCUGUGUUAGGUAGCGGCUCAGAUCUCUGAUUGGUUCUUGAAGCCACAGUAGUCAGCUGCUUUCAGUUUGUUCCAUGUAUGUGUGAUUCAGAGGUCAGAGACUUGGGCCAGGUUUAUACAUACAAUUUGAGAUUCUCUUUUUCUUGUUCUCUUCUUUCGGAGGUUCACUCUUAUUUUCCAGAAGCCUUGGUUGCCCUGGUUCCUCUGGUUAGAAGGAUGAUGGACUUUCUACCAGAAUUUAAGCCAUCCUGCCCCAGUGCUGCUACAAACGUGGUUUCUCUCAGGGCGAAGCCACAAUAAACAAGGAACUCACGCCAGCCUGGCCACUUGCUUCAAAUUGUACUCCCUUCCAAAAUAUGCCUGUUUUUUCUCAGUCCUCAGAGUUCUCAGGUAACUUUUUGUUGUAUUUAUUUUCUAAGAGUUUGUAGGUGCUAUUUGGCUUGGCAGGAGUUUGCUCUUUUAUACCAGAAGCAGAACUUCACUUACCACAUGUUGAGUGUUCAUUAUCCGAGAUGCUUGGGACUGAAGCGUUUUGGAUUUUGGGUAUUUUCAGAUUUUGGAAUAUUUGCAUAUGCAUAAUGAGAUAUCUUGGGGAUGGGACCCAAGAUUAAAUAUGAAAUUUAUUUAUGUUUCAUAUAUACUAGCCUGAAGGUAAUUUUAUACAAUCUACUUUAAUAAUUUUGUCCAUGAAACGCAGUUUCUGUACAUUGAGCCUCUGGAAAGCAAAGGUGUCAGGUGUAGAAUUUUCAGCUUGUGGUGUCAUGUCAGUGGUCAAAAAGUUUCAGACUUUGCAGUAUUUUAGAUUUGCAUUUUCAGAUUAAGGAUCCU